AUGCAAGUCGAACGAAGCACUUUAUUUGAUUUCUUCGGAAUGAAGAUUUUGUGACUGAGUGGCGGACGGGUGAGUAACGCGUGGGUAACCUGCCUCAUACAGGGGGAUAACAGUUGGAAACGACUGCUAAUACCGCAUAAGCGCACAGGGUCGCAUGACCUGGUGUGAAAAACUCCGGUGGUAUGAGAUGGACCCGCGUCUGAUUAGCCAGUUGGUGGGGUAACGGCCUACCAAAGCGACGAUCAGUAGCCGACCUGAGAGGGUGACCGGCCACAUUGGGACUGAGACACGGCCCAAACUCCUACGGGAGGCAGCAGUGGGGAAUAUUGCACAAUGGGGGAAACCCUGAUGCAGCGACGCCGCGUGAGCGAAGAAGUAUUUCGGUAUGUAAAGCUCUAUCAGCAGGGAAGAAGAAAUGACGGUACCUGACUAAGAAGCACCGGCUAAAUACGUGCCAGCAGCCGCGGUAAUACGUAUGAUGCAAGCGUUAUCCGGAUUUACUGGGUGUAAAGGGAGCGCAGGCGGUACGGCAAGUCUGAUGUGAAAGCCCGGGGCUCAACCCCGGUACUGCAUUGGAAACUGUCGGACUAGAGUGUCGGAGGGGUAAGUGGAAUUCCUAGUGUAGCGGUGAAAUGCGUAGAUAUUAGGAGGAACACCAGUGGCGAAGGCGGCUUACUGGACGAUUACUGACGCUGAGGCUCGAAAGCGUGGGGAGCAAACAGGAUUAGAUACCCUGGUAGUCCACGCC
rnacentral:rRNA from 1 species